GGAAAAAACAAGACCAAUUCCCCCCCAAAGAACAUUCAUCGACUCUAAAAUGCUGUCCAUUGAUGGAGAUCUGAGUCUGGCCAUCUAAGCAUUCUAUAAUAGGGAAAGAGCAAAGAUCAAUGACCACAAAGAACAUUCAUUGACUCUAAUAUGCUGUCCAUUGAUGAAGAUCCGAGUCUAACCAUCCAAGCACUAUAUAAUAGACAUGUGGAUGUGGCUGUAUAAACAAAAGAUUCAAUGAUUUCCUAUACUAUAUUCAAUAUCCAAGAACACUAUCUAUGCGCAUCACAUCUCCCAGAACUCCUUCUCACUCAUGCUUCGAUGUGGAUGACACGUCUUGAAAACUGCAUGAGGAAGCCUAGUUUGAUUUUGGCUCCAAGCGAAGCUGAACUGUGCGACUCCAGCUCAAAUUAAUGGCGUUGCAACCAAUGUGUCAUAUGAUUAAGGGGUAAUAGAGCUGUUGUUCUCUAAUUCUAUUAAUUUGGAAUCAUAAGUAUGAGAGCUUGUGAAUUCGAUAAAUCCACAUCAACAAAUUUUGGUCACCCCACACUACCAAAUCCCAUUGAUCUGGGAGAAGAAAGGAAUCACCAAGAAUGCAAGAUACAACCAUGGUGGAAACAGAUAAGAUCGACACAGAGGAAGGUUGCAAACAGAAGAAGUAGAAAUGCAAGAAGUGGCUUGUUGAAUUAUCAUUCCCGAAGUCUCGUUGCCUUCCCGGUAACCAUUUACUCCUCCAGAUGCUCGUCUUGCUGGUUAUUGCGCCGAUGUUUUUCUUUUGUUUCCAAGUUUUGGAUUUGCAAAAAGAAACCAAAAAACAGGUUUUUCCAGCUCUCCCACAACCCGGAACAAGAAAUUGUGCCGUUUGUGACUGAAGUUUUAACAAUUGAAUUACAUUCAAUGUUAUGCCUCUAGCAGAUUUUUGCCCAUGCAACAUACUUUUCAGGGCUCAACUGUGCAGACCUUUUGUCAUCGUCCCACAUGAUUGUCUCCAAAGACACUCUAUUUUGUUGAAUCAAAAUCUUCAGGGUCUCUUCAUUUAGGCUGAAAUUUCACGCUUAGUUUGAAGGGGAGAGUUGAAUGAUCAUACUAGGCAUAUUUGCAUAGUCUAUUUUGGAAGUUCUGGGACUUCGUGUUUGUCUCCAAUGCCACUCUAUUUUGUUGAAUCAAGAUUUUCCAGGUCUUCAUUUAGGCUGAAAUUUCCCAGUUAGAUUGAAGGGGAGUGUUGAAUACCACUUACUCCAAGUGGUUGGAGGUUGGUUGUCUCCUUAAGAAAGAUCCGCUAAUUUUCAUCUAAAAAGUUGUUUUGUUGUUUAUUUUCCUUGUCCUAGUAUUUGAUUAACAUCACAAAAUAUAUCUUUCUCUCUUCAUUUUUCUAAGAUUUCAAAGUAGAAUCCACUAUUUAAAAAAAAAUAUAUUUCAUAUAAGUAUUCUAAAGGGGUUCAGGUGUGAGACAGUCUAGGGGUUGAAUUUCCCGCCCUAUUUUUAUAGGGGGCUAUAUAAUCAUGCAUGUAAUUACAAUAAAUGAUGCAUGUAAUUUCAAUAAAUGAUAUGUAAAAGUUAUACAAAGUACAAAUAAAUAUAUAAAUGCAAUUAACAAUAUAAUUAAUAAAGAUUCAUCACCAUACUGAUACUAAAAAGGUAAUAUCAUUACUUUUACCUUUUACCAAAAGUCUAUACUAAUCCACAUUACACAGUGAACAUUUCAUUAAUGCGACUUUAGCUUCAGAGUUAUUAAAAAAUGGUUUCUUAGGUUCUCAUUAAACAAAAUGAGCUUUCACAAAAAAUAGUAAAAAGUCAGCUUCACUGCCUACAUCACCACCUCCUCCAAAGGUGAGGCGGCCGAGGACCUCCUAGGUGGCUUCCAUUUAGAAGUCUGGAUUUAAUAUGAACAAAUCUCUCCCUUCUUGUUUACAAAAGGACUAAUUUUGGAGCAAUGUAAAAGGAAUCGAGAAGGAAAAAACGGAAACAUGGAUGUUAGGUUACAUAGCAAGAGCUACACCCUUCAUGCAGCCAAUCCUUGCCACAUAUCGGGAAUUUCAGCAUCCGAUUUAAACGGAAAUGUUUUUGCAGGCUUGUUCGAAUGGAAAAUGAUAGAAGGUGGAAUUGUUUGCAUAUGUUCAAUCAAAACUACAAACAACGACCCUGUGCAAAAAUGCAUAAUGGUGCAAUGUUCCCAUUUUACCAUCAGGGGUACUCUUUAGUUACUUCAGAUUCUAUGAGGUGAAGCAUAGGCCAAAGAGGAGAAGAGGUCGACAAUAUGCGUCUUGUGUUCUUCGGAAAGUUUUCGUGCUGCCACAUUUUCAGAGGCCAAGUUGAAACAUAUAAGCUUGGGCAACAAUAUACUUUUCUCUACAAUUCUCGCAUUAGCUAUGUCUUUUAUUUUGAUUUUCAUGUUUUUUAGACUUUCAUUUUGGAAAAUGAAGCUUUUAAGGGGUGAGUAGUGUAACAUGUGUUAGAGUUGGGGUUAAUAGAGGAGAAAUGUUCUAUACAAAUGCAAAGUAGUGCACGAAGUAUUAGUUAGGAUAUAAAUGAGUACACAAGUUAUAAUUACUGACACUAGGCUUGUAUAGGUUUUUAUGUAUGAAAUGAUAUUGAAUGAAAAGUUAGUUUACACCAA